rnacentral:lncRNA from 1 species
UCGGACUGACCAAAUCUUCUUCUUCCUCACGUUAACAGGAAACCAACUCCCACACGAACACAUACAUGAACCGACCUUGAUUCAUAUCCCUUCCAAAUCCUAUCUCUAAUCUCCCCCUCGUUCGAGAAUCUUGUCAAUGUGGGGUCUUUCUCGACUGAUUCUUCCAAAGCCUAGUGCCCGAAACCACCUCUACUCGAAGCUCUCGCCGUUUGGAUCUCGUCAUACACACUGCAGUUCAUCAUUAGAUUCCUAUCCCGAUGAGCCUUCCCGAGCCUCCCUUUUCUGUAAUUCGACUAUCCUCGAUCCCUAGAUUCUUUUUGAAAUGAUCUUGCAUCCUCUCUCCAUGUACAACUAUCGUUUGGAUAUCGCAAAACCGUCAUAGUUCAUGGAGGUCACCUCAACGCCCCCCUCAUCUCCGUCAUCCCCAACUUCCAUCAACACCAAAAAUUGGUUACUCUUGAUCUCCUACAUGCAUCGGACAUCAUCGCCGAUCCUACUGAUGACGGGAGCACCGCCACCCACUGGCCUCUCCUUCGGUGUCUAUCGUUUCUUCUAUGUAGGUAAAGAGACCUCGUGUUCUUCUCAUUCUUUUAAAGAAAGCAUUAAACUUCGGC